CAGACCUAUCCAGAAACAUUUCACUCCCCUUUCUGGCCCCAGAAUCACACUCCACUCUCUCACUCCCUCACUCUCUAAUGUCCUUCUAUCUUCUCUCCUCUCUCUCAAGACUUCCAACUCCCCUCGCCCUACGGUAAUUCUUUGCCUGGAGCUCUGGAAUAUAUACACAUUUAUAUAUACACACUCUGUGGCGGUUAUUCUAGCGGUUAGGGUAUUCUUGGAUCCUAUUACGGGUACCCACCUCGUCUGGCAUAUUCGUCAAUCAAGGAGAGGUAGGUUAUUGUAGAACAAUCAGUUAUAGGGUUCCAUCCCAGCUGAAAUUGGGAAGCUUUCAGAAAUCCAAACUCUUGACCUUUCAGUCAGAUUUCUUUGCUUCUGUCAGCCACUUAAAAUUCAUUGCGCUGGCAAAAUGUACAUCAGGUGCUCUGGCCUUGGAAAUAUGGGUGGCAUCAAAAUUGUUUCGAACAUGGCUGGCGUGAGAGGUUUGAUGUUGCCAUAGCCAAUGGUGCACGUUGAGAUGAAGAAGAAAGUAGAGAGUGUUGACAACUUGGUGGCUCUUGAGGCCGGAGAAAUUAAGCCAUAUUUGAAUUACUAAGAUUAUUGUUGGAUUAAUUCCACCAAUUCUUGGCACUCUAUUUUACACGGGAAUACUGUACCUGCAUGGCAACAAACUUACUGCAUGGCAACACACUUUUGACUUGGUGGGUCUUGAGGCCGGAAAAAUUAAGCCAUAGUUGAAUUACUAAGACGAUUGUUGGAUCAAUUCCACUAAUUCUUAGCAAUCUAUUUUACACGGGAAAACUGUACCUGCAUGGCAACAAACUUAUUGGACCUAUUCCGCUAGAGUUUGGCAAUAUGUUGAAGCUUAGCAAUUUGUGAGAUACUUCCCGUCACUUUUAGGUUGCAACAUUCAGUAUUUGUUUGGGUUCAGUUGACAAGUCUAUCUAAAGGCAUGUUUCCAAUUACGUAGGUUAGUUCUUCUAUCUCUAUAAUUUGUGGAAAAUUUACAAAUCUGGUCCUCUCUUUCUCCUGUUUGGUUUAUUGACUAGAAUGAUUUGUUGUGAAAUUUAGAAAUCAAAAUCGAAAUUAUUGUUAAAACUGUUUUGUUGGCUUUUGUCAUGAACAUGUGCAUUGUUGCAUAUUUACCUUGGCAGAACCAUGGCUCUCUCAUAAACAUUUACAUUUUGCAAAGUUAUUUGGCUUUUAAUCAACAAAUAUCUCAGAGUAUGACUAUCUAAAGAAUCUACCAGUUAAGCUAUCUGGUACCUUUUUGGCUUUGAAAUUUAGCUCCUAAGUGUUCUGAUAUUGUUUUGGUUGGGUUGGAAUGGAGCGAUCAGCAUGUGUGUAGACUUUAGCAAUAGCAUGACAUCAUAUUCUCAUAUUAGGGUUAUAAUCAAACGGGGGACAUUUAUUUGCGUAGUGAAGAAUUUGUUAGAAUUUGACCGAGAAUCUAUCAGCAAGCAGGUUUUUCAUUCAAUAGAAUUUGAUAGCUUCUAGCCUUCUAGAAAUGAAUAAAAAUUAUAUAAAGAAAACCUAAAAUAAUUUUAUUCCACAAGCUAGUAUAUGAACACAUUCUGUUGUGUGUGUGCAUUUCUACAACAUGCAAAAAGGAUAUUUACUGCGUGGUUAUUUACAGGGAUUUUUUAAUGGGGUAAAUAAGGAUUACUAUUUACCGCAUCCCUUGUUACCACAUGCAAUUUAACCUUGUAAAAGGUACUCACAAGGUUUUUUAUACCUUGCAAAUAUUUAUUUUGCUUGUAGUGUUGGUUGUAAUAGAAGGUAAGAGAUGGAGAGAGCGACCAAAAAUAACAUGGAAUGAGGUUAUUAAAAAUGACUUUAAAAAGUCAAAAUAUAGUACUAGGUGAAAUGGCAUGUAAUAGAAAAUGUAGACAGAGAAUUCAUGUGGCCAACCCCAUUCAUAUGGGAUUAAGGCAAGGAUGAUGACGACAACAACCUAGUUCUUGGUUUCCUAUCUCCUUUCUCUUUCUUUAUUGUCCUUCUAGUGCAUACUUUUAGAACUAUCAACCUAUGUUGUGUGACCUUGAGUUCUAGUCUUUGUUGUCUCACUAUCUAUUCUUUUAGUUAGACAAAUCAAUUUGGCUUCAUGCUUUUGUUUAAUUCACUUUUAAAUGUUAACAACUGUUUGCCUCUAUUUGUAUUUUUAUUUUUAUCUAUAAAUAGGUUUUAUGUAAGAUCAUAUGCCACUGGAAAAUGUAGGACAAUCUCUCUAACACAGUCCCGUCACUGAUAAUUUCUCCUUCUGGCAGUCUUGUAUUAGUUCAUUCAUUGGAUCCCAAAUUUGUGCUUCAAUGUAUACGCAUAGUCCUACUACGAUUACGCAAUUGCAAAUCCUUAUUUUUGUCUGUCUUCUCCUGGCAAUAGAAUUUAUGUCAUGUAUUUUUAAUUUCACUUCUCUUAUACCCACUUAAUAUU